rnacentral:autocatalytically_spliced_intron from 1 species
UUAAGCUAGUGCUGUGCUGGCCGUCAGGCCAGGCCCACAGGCUCGCUGAGGCGUAACCGGUACUGCAAAGCCUAAACAGCGAAUCUGUAAGCCAUGCUAUCGAGCGUCGAAAGACCCAAUUGUGGGAGCCUUUGCCUUGCAAUGAGCAGAGGCCACACUGCCGCACUGCAAUGGUCUUUACGAGCAGUCCUGCGGGCGUCGGUUGGGAACA